rnacentral:rRNA from 1 species
UUUAGGGGGAAGUAGGAUAAUCCUGUGCUGCCAAGAAAAGCAUCGACGUGAGGUUUUAGCCGCCCGUACCCGAAACCGACACAGGUAGUCAGGUAGAGAAUACUAAGGCGAUCGAGAGAAUCGUGGUUAAGGAACUCGGCAAAAUGCCCCCGUAACUUUGGGAGAAGGGGGACCUAAACCCUGAAGGGCUUCACGUUCUAGGGGUGAGGGACGCAGAGUCCAGGGAGAAGCGACUGUUUAUCAAAAACACAGGUCCGUGCGAAGCCGCAAGGCGAUGUAUACGGACUGACGCCUCCCCGGUGCUGGAAGGUUAAGCGGACCGGUCAGCCCACCUUGUGUGGGUGAAGCUGGGAAGUUAAGCCCCAGUAAACGGCGGUGGUAACUAUAACCAUUCUAAGGUAGCGAAAUUCCUUGUCGGGUAAGUUCCGACCUGCACGAAUGGCGUAACGACUUCUCUACUGUCUCGACCACGAACUCAGCGAAAUUGCAUUACGAGUAAAGAUGCUCGUUACGCGCAGAAGGACGGAAAGACCCCGGGACCUUUACUAUAGCUUGGUAUUGGUGUUCGGUACGGCUUGUGUAGGAUAGGUGGGAGACUGUGAAACUCAGACGCUAGUUUGGGUGGAGUCAUUGUUGAAAUACCACUCUGGCCGUGCUGCACAUCUAACCUCGGCCCGUGAUCCGGGCCAGGAACAGUGCCUGGUGGGUAGUUUAACUGGGGCGGUUGCCUCCUAAAAGGUAACGGAGGCGCUCAAAGGUUUCCUCAGCCUGGUCGGUAACCAGGUGUCGAGCGUAAGUGCACAAGGAAGCUUGACUGUGAGACUGACAGGUCGAACAGGUACGAAAGUAGGAACUAGUGAUCCGGCACUGGCUUGUGGAAGCAGUGUCGCUCAACGGAUAAAAGGUACCCCGGGGAUAACAGGCUGAUCCUGCCCAAGAGUUCAUAUCGACGGCAUGGUUUGGCACCUCGAUGUCGGCUCGUCGCAUCCUGGGGCUGGAGUAGGUCCCAAGGGUUGGGCUGUUCGCCCAUUAAAGCGGUACGCGAGCUGGGUUCAGAACGUCGUGAGACAGUUCGGUCCCUAUCCUCUGCGCGCGUUGGAGAAUUGAGAAGGGCUGUCCCUAGUACGAGAGGACCGGGACGGACGAACCACUGGUGUGCCAGUUAUCCCGCCAGGGGUAUGGCUGGUUGGCUACGUUCGGGAAGGAUAACCGCUGAAAGCAUCUAAGCGGGAAGCCUGCUUCAAGACAAAUUCUCCCUCCAACAUUUGUUGGUGAAGGCCCCCGGAAGACUACCGGGUUGAUAGACCAGACGUGGAAGAGAAGUAAUUCUUGGAGCUGACUGGUACUAAUGGCCAACCAC